rnacentral:rRNA from 1 species
CAGGGGAAGGAGUCGGCGGAGGAGUUGCUGGCGAGGCUCACCCUGCAGGAGGAGGAGGAGGAGGAUGACUUCAUCUGGGAUGAAGAAUUGCCGGAUAUGAUGGAACCGGCGAAGUGGCUUGCGAUCGUAAGGGUACACACGACGAGAACUUUCAGCCCUAAUGCGCUAUACAAUGAUAUGAGGGCGGCUUGGAAUCCUGCAAAACAGGUGGUAUGGAGGAGAAUCGAAGCAAACUUGUUCACAGUGCAGUUUGGACAUUUAGGAGAUUGGAAGAAGGCUAUGAUCGAUGGACCAUGGUUGUUCAGGGAGCAGGCUAUAAUCAUGGAGGAGUAUGAUGGCUUCAAAAACCCUGAUACUUUCAAGCUGGACAAGCUAGCGGUUUGGGCCUAG